GGUUUUAUCAGUAAGGGAUUAUUUUCAUUAAUUAAAAUAAGAUUAUUAAAUCG
rnacentral:tRNA from 1 species